rnacentral:rRNA from 1 species
UACGUAGGGGGCAAGCGUUGUCCGGAAUUAUUGGGCGUAAAGGGCUCGUAGGCGGUUUGUCGCGUCGGGAGUGAAAACCAGGUGCUUAACACCUGGCUUGCUUUCGAUACGGGCAGACUAGAGGUAUGCAGGGGAGAACGGAAUUCCUGGUGUAGCGGUGAAAUGCGCAGAUAUCAGGAGGAACACCGGUGGCGAAGGCGGUUCUCUGGGCAUGACCUGACGCUGAGGAGCGAAAGUGUGGGGAGCGAACAGG